rnacentral:rRNA from 1 species
AACGCGAAGAACCUUACCUGGCCUUGACAUGCAUCGUGUCGUCGGUGAAAGCCGGCUAGCGUAGCAAUACGCGCUUUGCACAGGUGCUGCAUGGCUGUCGUCAGCUCGUGUCGUGAGAUGUUGGGUUAAGUCCCGCAACGAGCGCAACCCUUGUCCUGUGUUGGCAUGCCGCAAGGCGCAACUCGCAGGAGACCGCCAGCGAUAAGCUGGAGGAAGGUGGGGAUGACGUCAAGUCAUCAUGGCCUUUAUGUCCAGGGCCACACACGUGCUACAAUGGGCGGUACAAAGCGCUGCCAACCCGCGAGGGGGAGCUAAUCGCCAAAAACCGUCCUCAGUUCGGAUCGCAGGCUGCAACUCGCCUGCGUGAAGCUGGAAUCGCUAGUAAUGCUAUAUCAGAACGAUAGCGUGAAUACGUUCCCGGGCCUUGUACACACCGGUACUA